rnacentral:rRNA from 1 species
AACGAACGCUGGCGGCAGGCCUAACACAUGCAAGUCGAGCGGACAUCUUCGGAUGUUAUCGGCGGACGGGUGCGUAACGCGUGGGAACGUACCCUUUGCUCCGGAAUAGCCUCGGGAAACUGGGAGUAAUACCGGAUGUACCCUUUGGGGCAAAGAUUUAUCGGCAAAGGAUGGGCCCGCGUUGGAUUAGGUUGUUGGUGUGGUAAUGGCCUACCAAGGCGACAAGCCAUCGCUGGUUAGAGAGGAUGAUCAGCCACACUGGAAGUGAGACACGGUCCAGACUCCUACGGGAGGGAGCAGUGGGGAAUAUUACACAAUGGCGGAACCCCUGAUCUCGCCAUGACGCGUGAGCGAUGAAGGCAUUAGGGUUGUAAAGCUCUUUAACCGGGGAAGAUAAUGACGGUACCCGGAGAAGAAGCCCCGGCUAACUCCGUG